rnacentral:rRNA from 1 species
AUUGAACGCUGGCGGCAUGCUUUACACAUGCAAGUCGAACGGUAACAGGCCGCAAGGUGCUGACGAGUGGCGAACGGGUGAGUAAUGCAUCGGAACGUGCCCAGUCGUGGGGGAUAACGCAGCGAAAGCUGCGCUAAUACCGCAUACGAUCUAUGGAUGAAAGCGGGGGACCGUAAGGCCUCGCGCGAUUGGAGCGGCCGAUGUCAGAUUAGGUAGUUGGUGGGGUAAAGGCUCACCAAGCCAACGAUCUGUAGCUGGUCUGAGAGGACGACCAGCCACACUGGGACUGAGACACGGCCGAGACUCCUACGGGAGGCAGAAGUGGGGAAUUUUGGACAAUGGGCGCAAGCCUGAUCCAGCAAUGCCGCGUGCAGGAAGAAGGCCUUCGGGUUGUAAACUGCUUUUGUACGGAACGAAACGGCUCUCACUAAUACUGGGGGCUAAUGACGGUACCGUAAGAAUAAGCACCGGCUAACUACGUGCCAGCAGCCGCGGUAAAAC